rnacentral:rRNA from 1 species
AUGAACGCUGGCGGCGUGUUUAAGGCAUGCAAGUCGCGGGAUCGGCUGGACUUCGGUUCAGCACGGACCGGCAGACGGGAGAGUAACACCCUGGUAACCUACCUCUAAGACGGGCAUAGCCCGGAGAAAUCCGGAUUAAUACCCGAUAGUCAUGGGGGGACGAAAGUCAUUCCCAUGUAAAUCCUACGGGGCUUAGAGAGGGGCCUAGGGCCUAUCAGCUAGUUGGUAAGGUAAUGGCUUACCAAGGCUACGACGGGUAGGGGGCGUGAGAGCGUGACCCUCCUCACUGGGACUGAGAUACUGCCCAGACUCCUACGGGAGGCUGCAGUCAAGAAUCUUCCGCAAUGGGCGAAAGCCUGACGGAGCGACGCCGCGUGUAGGAAGAAGCCCUUCGGGGUGUAAACUACUUUUCUCAGGGAAGAAUUAUUGACGGUACCUGAGGAAUAAGAGGUUGCUAACUCUGU